CCCCCUCACCGUACCUGCCCCCUUGUGGUCUAGCCUCCUUCCACGCUCCGCCCCCUGACGGGCUCUCCGAAGCCCGGCCCCCUCCCCAGCUUCGUCCCGCUCCUGCGGAGGCCUCACCUCCCUUCGGGUCCCGCCCCUCACCGGCUCUGUCCUGCCCCCAUCGCGAUACCUGCUGAGGCCUCACCACUUCACGCCCCGCCCCUGACGGCCACGCCCCCCUUAGGCCCCUCCUACACACGGCCCCCCUCGUCUUUUUAUUGCCCGCGCCCUCGGGUUCCUGUAGACCCGGAAGCGGAUAGCGCGGAGCAAAAGUUUCGCUGUUGAGUGUGGACUUCUAAGAAAGAACCACAUUGCCUGAGGAAGAGGCCCAGAAGAGGAGGAAGAAAAAUGAAAGAGGCCACAGGAAUGGCGUUUUCUCACGGAUGAUUGACCUUCAAGGAUGUGGCCAUAGAAUUCUCUCAGGAGGAAUGGGUGUGCCUGGACCCCGCUCAGAGGGCCUUGUACAGGGACCUG